CUGGCCACAACCCCAAACCAUGAUAGAUCCACCCCCAUGCUUAACAGUUGGCAAGGUUUGAAAAAAAAGGUGAAAAUUACAGCAGCAAACAAGCACAAUUCGGAGAGCAGCGAGAUGUUUUGUGCACAGCUUGUCAGUACAAAUGCCAUUUCAUUAGGAGGAGAAGGUAUGCUCUUUACCCUAAACAAAGCUGACACAGACACAGGCCAGUGUGAAAUCUCUGAGGGAAGUCUGGUUGGGGAGAGUUGUCCCCCCAGUCAAUGCUUGAAUAAUGCAUGAAGGAUCUGGAGACAUCACUUAGAGAUGCUGCCAAUAUCAGCUGGGGCCCUGCCCACCCCUGUGGCUGCUGCCCUUUACCACAACCUUUAAGAGGGUGGAUUCCCUUAAUGCAGACGCAAUUGUUUUCUAAAAUACCCAAAUGAUAAGAUAAAAAUAAGCCAUUCAGUUUUCACAAUAAGGAGCAUGGGUUUGCAUUUGA